UAAGGAUUGCAAAAUGCAAUCUGUUGAACAACUUGUGCUUGUUCUCUGCGACCCUAAUUUUCGUGAAAACGCUCUUUUAGAGCUUUUCAAGGUUUAUUCUUCUCACUUUAGAGGUUUAUUUUGACAUUUUGGAUUGAGUAUCAUUUUGUUGUUCUGCUAAAUAGAAUUAAGAUUUACCUAGAUAUACUUAAUGCCUUUGUUUUCUUUUUCUAGAAGAAGGAGUUGUUCCCGG
rnacentral:misc_RNA from 1 species